GACGAACGCUGGCGGCGUGCUUAACACAUGCAAGUCGAACGGAAAGGCCCUGCUUUUGUGGGGUGAUCGAGUGGCGAACGGGUGCGUAACACGUGAGUAACCUGCCCUUGACUUUGGGAUAACUUAAGGAAACUGGGGCUAAUACCGGAUAGGAGAUCAUGCUGCAUGGUGGGGGUUGGAAAGUUUCGGCGGUUGGGGAUGGACUAGCGGCUUAUCAGCUUGUUGGUGGGGUAGUGGCUUACCAAGGAUUUGAAGGGUAGGCGGCCUUAGAGGGUGGCCGGGCACCAUGGGACUGAGAUACGGCCCAGACUCCUACGGGGGGCAGCAGGGGGGAAUAUUGCACAAUGGGCGGAAGCCUGAUGCAGCAACGCCGCGUGCGGGAUGACGGCCUGCGGGUUGUAAACCGCUUUCGCCUGUUACGAAGCGUGAGUGACGGUAAUGAGUAAAGAAGCACCGGCUAACUACGUG
rnacentral:rRNA from 1 species